rnacentral:lncRNA from 1 species
AAAAUAAGAUUCGUCCUUCCAGUUGGAGCUUUCUUUGCUUAUUAGCGAAGAAAAGUAGACUUUGCUCAGCCGUAACUCUCUCCUUUGUUCAUGGCUGUCGAUUGGAUACCCAACCUCAAGUAGAGGCUAGGGCAUCUGUCUUCAGGCAAUACACAUCCCCUCCCUUGAGGUACAGCUUGAUGAAUGGGAUGCUCUUCUCUGUCUGAUGGGGAGAAACAAGUGAAGCUUCACCCACUUCAUUUCUGCGUGUGAGCAUUUCAAACGAUGAAAGGAAGGAACGGCGUUCUCUAAAACUCGCAGCUGCCCGACCCAAUUUCUGCUACCCUUUCUAUCCUUAUUUUAUUUAUUUAUUUAUUUAUUUAUUUAUUUAUUUAUUUAUUUUGGUUUUUCGAGACAGGGUUUCUCUGUAUUGCCCUGGCUGUCCUGGAACUCACUCUGUAGACCAGGCUGGCCUCGAACUCAGAAUUCCACCUGCCUCUGGGAUUAAAGGCCUGUGCCAACCACACCCAGCUUAUUUUUUUAUUUUAUUUGUUUGUUUUUGUUUGUUUAGUUGGUUGGUUGGCUGAUUGGUUUUUCGAGACUGGGUUUCUCUGUGUGGCCUUGGCUGUCUUCGAACUUGCUCUGCAGAUCAGGCUGGCCUCAUUCUAACAGAGAUCCGCCUGCCUUUGCCUCCCAAGUGCUGGGAUUAAAGGUGUGCACCACCA